GUGACAAAAGGAUUAUUGUAUUUUAAAAAAGGUAGCAGUUGUCAUUUAAGUCUAUAAAUGUGCAAAUACUGUUGUUCUACUCUAGAAUCUCAGUCACGGAAUUCUUUUUUCCAAUUUCCACCUGGAUUUUCUUUUAUAGAAUUGACAUGUUGACUGACUUUGAUUUGAAUGGACACUCCAAACCCCAACUUGUUGAAGUGCUUUAAAGUUUACUACAUGCUCCCCUUGUCCCAAAUUCUAAAAGUGCAAAUUUUGAGAGAAAUCAUCUGUUUUAUCAAUUGAUUUGGAAUAUCCCUUUUGGAACACAUUUGGAAAUUUGGAAACACCCCUCUGUCAGUCGAGCUGACAAAGCCUGUCAUUCCGCUUGAACAAUCGUGAAGAGCUUCCUUUCUAUUGGGCGAUGCAUGAUUGUCACAUUUGCUUGGUUCAUUCACAGUAAUCACAGCAGUGCGUGCACUCUUGAAAUGGGCUCGAUCAGCCCCAUACAACAUACAUUCACCCUUUCGGUUCCAUUAUCAAACUUUCCUUAAUAUAUCAAGAUAGUAGAACGGAAACAUGCAAAUACACGUUUGCUUAACAUAAAUCUGUACUUUUGUUUAUUUUAAAGCCCUAUGAGUGUUUUCUUUCAUGUUGGAGUAAAAGUUUUCAAUUUUAAGUAACCUUUUCUACCUCUAUAUUUACACACUAUCCAUGGCUGCUUUUUAGUUCCCAG